AGCGAACGCUGGCGGCAGGCUUAACACAUGCAAGUCGAACGGGCACUUCGGUGCUAGUGGCAGACGGGUGAGUAACGCGUGGGAACGUGCCUUUCGGUUCGGAAUAAUCCAGGGAAACUUGGACUAAUACCGGAUACGCCCUUCGGGGGAAAGAUUUAUCGCAGAAUGAUGGAUCCGCUCUAGAUUAGUUAGUUGGUGAGGUAAAGGCUCACCAAGGCUACGAUCUAUAUCUGGUUUGAGAGGAUGAUCAGACACACUGGGACUGAGACACGGCCCAGACUCCUACGGGAGGCAGCAGUGGGGAAUAUUGGACAAUGGGCGCAAGCCUGAUCCAGCGAUGCCGCGUGAGUGAUGAAGGCCUUAGGGUUGUAAAACUCUUUCAGAUGGGAAGAUAAUGACUGUACCAUCAGAAGAAGCCCCGGCUAACUCCGUGCCAGCAGCCGCGGUAAUACGGAGGGGGCUAGCAUUGUUCGGAAUUACUGGGCGUAAAGCGUACGUGGGCGGAUCAGAAAGUAUGGGGUGAGAUCCCAGGGCUCAACCCUGGAACUGCCUCAUAAACUCCUGGUCUAGAGUUCGAGAGAGGUGAGUGGAAUUCCGAGUGUAGAGGUGAAAGUCGUAGAUAUUCGGAGGAACACCAGUGGCGAAGGCGGCUCACUGGCUCGAUACUGACGCUGAGGUACGAAAGUGUGGGGAGCAAACAGGAUUAGAUACCCUGGUAGUCCACACCGUAAACGAUGAAUGCCAGUCGUCUGGUAGCAUGCUAUUCGGUGACACACCUAACGGAUUAAGCAUUCCGCCUGGGGAGUACGGUCGCAAGAUUAAAGCUCAAAGGAAUUGACGGGGGCCCGCACAAGCGGUGGAGCAUGUGGUUUAAUUCGAAACAACGCGCAGAACCUUACCAACCCUUGACAUGGAUAUCGCGGAACCGGAGACGGUUCUUUCAGUUCGGCUGGAUAUCACACAGGUGCUGCAUGGCUGUCGUCAGCUCGUGUCGUGAGAUGUUCGGUUAAGUCCGGCAACGAGCGCAACCCACACUCUUAGUUGCCAGCAUUCAGUUGGGCACUCUAGGAGAACUGCCGGUGAUAAGCCGGAGGAAGGUGUGGAUGACGUCAAGUCCUCAUGGCCCUUACGGGUUGGGCUACACACGUGCUACAAUGGUAGUGACAAUGGGUUAAUCCCAAAAAGCUAUCUCAGUUCGGAUUGGGGUCUGCAACUCGACCCCAUGAAGUCGGAAUCGCUAGUAAUCGCGUAACAGCAUGACGCGGUGAAUACGUUCCCGGGCCU
rnacentral:rRNA from 1 species